GGGGCUGUGGUGAUGCAAAGAUUAAGUGUUUGGCUGCUAACCAAAAGGAUGGAGGUUUGAACCCCCCCAGCCACU
rnacentral:tRNA from 1 species